rnacentral:rRNA from 1 species
CCUACGGGGGGCUGCAGUGGGGAAUAUUGGACAAUGGGCGAAAGCCUGAUCCAGCCAUGCCGCGUGUGUGAAGAAGGCCUUCGGGUUGUAAAGCACUUUCAGUGGGGAAGAAAGCCUUGGGGCUAAUACCCUCGAGGAAGGACAUCACCCACAGAAGAAGCACCGGCUAACUCCGUGCCAGCAGCCGCGGUAAUACGGAGGGUGCGAGCGUUAAUCGGAAUUACUGGGCGUAAAGCGCGCGUAGGCGGUCUGAUAAGCCGGUUGUGAAAGCCCCGGGCUCAACCUGGGAACGGCAUCCGGAACUGUCAGGCUAGAGUGCAGGAGAGGAAGGUAGAAUUCCCGGUGUAACGGUGAAAUGCGUAGAGAUCGGGAGGAAUACCAGUGGCGAAGGCGGCCUUCUGGACUGACACUGACGCUGAGGUGCGAAAGCGUGGGUAGCAAACAGGAUUAGAUACCCGUGUAGUC